AGACCACAACAGCUCUGCAAAGCAAGUUGCAAAACAGAAUCCAUGGAACUGGCAGUGAGCGAAAACCAAUUAGAAGACUUUGGUCUGUGAUGUAGAGGAGUGGGCAGACGCAGAAGCAAAAACAACAAAAAACAAAAGUGAUUUUGAUGUCUUCGUCUUAUGGCAUGAUACACUUUUAGAAAAAAUGAGAAAGGCAUUCAACAUCAUCCUGCUAGUCAGGAUUCUUCAGGAGAAGCAGAAGAUGCUUGUGGCAGAGAUGGCCAACCACUAUAAAUACCUUUCAACUCAUCCUGGUUCCUUCAAAGAACUUUUCUGGAUGUUUGCUAGUGAAAAAUAUGAUAUGUGGCCUAAACGAUGAGAGGUUGAAAGGUCUGAAGAUCAUCAUUCUCAGAAAGCAACAUUAUAACAUUAUAUAAAAACAACAACAAUAUGAGGGUGCAAGCUAGAGACUUGCAAGGUACCUGCAAGUUUUGACUGGAGCAGAGAACACACAUUUUUUUAAAUAAAGCUCGAACUGAUGAGUAUGACAUUGACUACGGAUAUUAUUUUACUGUAAAGAAAGAAGACGAUGACCUUGACUCUGAAUCUUAAGCAUGUAAUCUGAUUUUCAUCAUCUAUAACCAAAUUGUUGUCUCU
rnacentral:lncRNA from 1 species